rnacentral:misc_RNA from 1 species
UUUUUUUUUUUCUUUCUUUUUGAAUUACAAAAUAUAUGAUAUCUAUUUGCUGAUGUAUUUAACUGCAUAAACCUUUUUCUAUGUGCCUAGUUUCACCUUGUGCAACAAGGUAACUUAUUCUACUGUUAUUGACUUGUUGAAUAUUAGCUUAUUUAAUGGUGUUUUUUUCUCCUCCUCCUCCUUCUUCUUCUCCUCUCUCUCUC